rnacentral:lncRNA from 1 species
CGAGUGGAGGAAUCCUAGGGUGUGCCUGGAGGUGGCGGAGUGUACCGACGCGGGUGUGAGCGCGUGUGCCAGCGAGGGUGGGCACGGGGGUGAGCGUGGCAAGGGCAGCAGCACCUGCUUGAGACCAAGCCCGGCGACCUGGCAAGGUGGGGCCCCCUACCGCGCAAUCUUUGCGGCUGGCCCCCGGCUCUCAGCUCCGAGUGCAGAGGCUGAAGAGGUACCCGGGGGACACACUGCCUCUAACCCCACCUAUGAGCCGCUCUCCUCUCGGAGGACGAAGGCACCAUCAGAAGGUCGAGAUUCGCCCUCCUCUCCCGCCACGUCUACCCACUACCUAGACCGGGAGUCUGGACUUGGGAGCGUGAACUCUCACCCGAGCCGGUCCCCUUACAACUGGAGCCCGCCCAGCCCCUCAGUCCCUCCCUGAAGCCCAUGGGUCCCCACUGCUCCGUGCCUCGUCGACCCAGGAUGGGGAGUGGGAAGGUCAGCAUGUGCCCACAGGGCCAGGUGUCCGGCCCAGAUUCCCACCCUCAGGGCGGCGGCGCGCAAAGGGCGCAGUCCCCGCCGCUGGGCGGACCCGCGGCUCCGGCUUUCCCGGUGUCUCCAGCCUCGGUGCCCGGAAUCCUGGAUCUCGGCCUGGCGCUCCGGAAGCGAGGCAGCUCCGUGCCCCAGCAGGGACGGGGAACGCUUGGCUUGAGAGAUCACAUUUCUGGGUGUGGAGAGAAUGUCAAUCACAUAUCCAGAAUAUCACCUCCUUGGGCACAGCCAGGGCAUGGUCCAUUGAAAAUGUUCCUGAUUGCUGGAAGCUGACGGCUCACCAUAAAAGCCAAAAUGGGGACCUGUCAAAAAUGUUUUAGCCAAACUAUGGCUUGGCUCAGGAAGAUGCCAAGACCAAAGGCUGCUGAACUUUAAGUAUAAACUUGCAUGAAAAGCACAUUGCAGGUCUGAGACAGUGGAGGCUUAGUGGUGAGAACAUGAGCUCUGGAUAGACCUGGCUUCAAGUCUUGGCUCUGUCAUUCACCAGCUGUGUGAAUUUGGGCAAACCACUUUUCUUCUCUGAUGCUCAGUUCCCUCACCUAGCAAAAUGGGUUAUAAUGAUGGCAUCAACUCAUAAGGUUCAUGAGGACUGAGCUAGAUAAUGCAAACAACAUGUUUCAUAUACAAUAAUAAAUAAAAAUGUUGGCUGUUAUAAUAUUGUCACUGAGUCUACAUGUAUCUGAAACUAGCUCUUUUAAAUCCUGGGUACAGCUUUACAAGCAGUAUUGUGUAGUUUAGACAGAUCACCUGAGUUCUUUCUAUGUAAUUAUUGUUUCUACUGAACCUUGGUAAAUGUGUGAAAUCACAGAAGUUUGUCCCUAGACACUCCCCUCACCCCACUGGCUCCUCUCUCCAUUCUGUGCAACCCCAUUUCUGCAGCCUUGAGCUUCAGCCCAUUUCUCUCCAUUUCCUCCUCAUUAGCAAGAACUGAUAAAAUUAUUUGAACUGAUAUGUAAGUGACCAUCUCAUCCAGAGAUAUAGUAUUCACAUUUUAGUAGGUCAGAGCCUUAAGCCAAGGCAGUGAAAUAGAGUGGAUGGUACUUCAAGCAUUCAUCAAAGUAAUGGGGAAAGUUUGGGGUCCCAGGAGACUCUUCCCAAUUCCACAGAGUCCUGCCCAUUCAUAAAACUGGUACUAUUGAUGCAUUAUAAGCAACAAGGUGGUCCGUGUUUGAAUUCUGCAGCUGGAAAAUCAAGUCUCCAGCUUUUGCAAAAGUGUUGUAAUAGGGAAACUUGGACACUAAUUUUAUAUACCAACCUCUUCUUGGUAAAGAGACAUAGCUCAUGAGCACCAAGGCCUUUCCAGCAUUGCACAUCUAUGAUACUUAUACUCAAGUGCAUUUUUUUCUUCAGAGCUCAAGGCUAGAGUUGGGUGUUUUUGCCUCACUGGGUUUGUAGGAGACUCAGCUACAAAGUCAUUAAUUGCUUUGGUGAAUCAACAAGUAAAGAAAGACAGUCCAGCUAUUGUCCCCACACUGCAAAAUCAUAAGAGGCUUCUGGACUUCUCCACAAAAUCCUCAUUAAAGAUGAGUCCUCAUGGCUCUUACAGAAUUCUUUAUUAUGUCCUUUGUGCUGAGACUGCAAGGUAAAGAAAGAAAAAAGGGAAAUAACUAAAUUUGUUAUCAUGGAAAAUUUCAAACAUACAAAAGAUGAAAGAAUUGUAUAAUAUACCCCCAUGAACUUGUCAUUUAGCUUUGAAAGUUACCAACUCAUGGCCAAUCAUUUUUCAUCUGUACCCUACUCACACACUCCCCCACCAUAAUUUUGAAACAAAUUCCAAAUAUAAUUUCAUCUGUAAAUAUUUCUGUGAUUGCACCUUUGUUAUGGCCAACAAAAUCCAUCUUUCUAGAAGAGAAGUCAUUCUUCCCUCCCUCCAUGAUGCUAAGAACAUUUGGCCAGUACCUGCAUCCAUGCCCAGGAGUGGUCUCUGGGUUAGGCAAGCUUGAGGGUUUACUGAAUGUUAUCCAAAGUUUGUCCUUUUCCUUGGGUAGAAAAAGGAACCCAUAAAAUGUCUGGUAGAGGUGCCACUGUGUGCAAGCUUUUUUUUUUUUUUUUUUUUUUUUUUGUCAGCAGGGAUGAUGCUCAAUAGCUGUGAUGAGGUCCAAGCUGAGAGAAAAGAGUCAUGAUCAUGAAUCCCAACUGGAUUCAUCAUUUUCCACAUACUUUACUUCAUUUAGCUUUCACCAAUUCUCAUGUUAGUUCCAUUUUACAGAUAAGAAAACUAAGACCUAAGCUCACCCAGCUAGUAGUUACUUGUGGCAGAGACAGACUAGAUGCCAAUCAAAUUCAGUUCCUCUUUUCUGUAGAUACAGUUAGAUUACUUUCCCAGGUUCUCUUGCAGUUAGGUUUGGUCAUCUGACUAAGUUCUAGCCAAAGUAAUAUAGGCCAGUCCCAUGAAAAACAUCUAGGGCAAUUUAGCAUGUUCUUUCUUUCUCCAUCCACUGGCUGAAUGGAAAAAAUUUCAAGGGCUUAGAAGGGGACAGAGCCACAAGAAGGAAGGAACUUGGGUCCCUGGGUGACUAUGUGAAGUAGAGGUCCCUCCCAACUUCCUUUGAACUGUGAAAUACGCAAAAUAAAUAAAUAAAUAAAUUUUUAUUAUGUGAAA